GCCAGACUCCUACGGGAGGCAGCAGUGGGGAAUAUUGGGCAAUGGGCGCAAGCCUGACCCAGCAACGCCGCGUGAAGGAAGAAGGCCUUCGGGUUGUAAACUUCUUUUAUUGAGGACGAAACAAAUGACGGUACUCAAUGAAUAAGCCACGGCUAACUACGUGCCAGCAGCCGCGGUAAUACGUAGGUGGCAAGCGUUAUCCGGAUUUACUGGGUGUAAAGGGAGCGUAGACGGCAAUACAAGUCGGAAGUGAAAUACCCGGGCUCAACCUGGGAACUGCUUUGGAAACUGUAUGGCUGGAGUGCUGGAGAGGUAAGCGGAAUUCCUAGUGUAGCGGUGAAAUGCGUAGAUAUUAGGAGGAACACCGGUGGCGAAGGCGGCCUGCUGGACUGCAACUGACGUUGAGGCCCGAAAGCGUGGGGAGCAAACAGGAUUAGAUACCCUGGUAU
rnacentral:rRNA from 1 species